AAACCAACAGGGAUUGCCUUAGUAGCGGCGAGUGAAGCGGCAAUAGCUCAAAUUUGAAAUCUGGCGCCUUCGGUGUCCGAGUUGUAAUUUGAAGAAGGUAUCUUUGGUUUUGGCUCUUGUCUAUGUUCCUUGGAACAGGACGUCACAGAGGGUGAGAAUCCCGUGCGAUGAGAUGCCCAAUUCCAUGUAAAGUUCCUUCGACGAGUCGAGUUGUUUGGGAAUGCAGCUCUAAGUGGGUGGUAAAUUCCAUCUAAAGCUAAAUAUUGGCGAGAGACCGAUAGCGAACAAGUACUGUGAAGGAAAGAUGAAAAGAACUUUGAAAAGAGAGUGAAAAAGUACGUGAAAUUGUUGAAAGGGAAGGGCUUGAGAUUAGACUUGGAAUUUUCCGAUUUAUUGGAGCUUUCCGGGCCAGCAUCAGUUUGGAUGGUAGGAUAAUUGCGUUGGAAAGUAGCACCACUUUGGUGGUGUAUUAUAGACUGCGUAGAUACUGCCUAUCUAGACUGAGGACCGCGUCUUUGACUAGGAUGCUGGCGUAAUGAUCUUAAGCCGC
rnacentral:rRNA from 1 species